rnacentral:rRNA from 1 species
UACGGAAGGCAGCAGUGGGGAAUAUUGCACAAUGGGCGCAAGCCUGAUGCAGCCAUGCCGCGUGUAUGAAAAAGGCCUUCGGGUUGUAAAGUACUUUCAGUCGUGAGGAAGGUGUUAAGGUUAAUAACCUUAGCAAUUGACGUUAGCGACAGAAGAAGCACCGGCUAACUCCGUGCCAGCAGCCGCGGUAAUACGGAGGGUGCGAGCGUUAAUCGGAAUUACUGGGCGUAAAGGGCACGCAGGCGGUUAAUUAAGUUGGAUGUGAAAUCCCCGGGCUUAACCUGGGAAUGGCAUUCAAGACUGGUUAGCUAGAGUCUUGUAGAGGGGGUAGAAUUCCAUGUGUAGCGGUGAAAUGCGUAGAGAUGUGGAGGAAUACCGGUGGCGAAGGCGGCCCCUGGCAAAGACUGACGCUCAUGUGCGAAAGCGUGGGGAGC